UCACAGAUGCUGCUCGGGGCCAGCCCUAUACUCCCUCCAGUGCCUGGUCUCCGGUGGACCCGCGGGGCUCUGCAGUUCUCUGGCGGCCGCGCCUUGUAAGCGCUAAGCCGGGAGGAGGGCGCAGGCAGGGCGCACAGCUCUGAGCGCGACCCUACCCGGCUCGGGCCCGCAGCAACCCCGACUGUCCGAGAGCCUCUCCCCAAGCAAGGCUCUGCGCCGCCCUCUGAGCCCACCUCCUGGCCACAACGCUGCCUGCGCUUCUCCAGCCCAGGCCGGAAGCCCUAUGCUGCCUCCCGAAGCCGGACUUUCUGGAAGCCCAUCUUCGUAUGCUCACCAGCCCACCCUCCUACGCUGGUCAGAGUGAGAUUGCUAACCUCAAGACCCCAUUCAAUGCCAGCUUUCAACUACUGCUGAAGACCAAUGUAGGUCCUGGAAUAGAAGAACUGCAGAGUAUCCGGAGCUGGCCGACCCCAGACUGAUUCUCAACAGGUGGCUGGGUAGUGCCCCCCACCCUGUGUUGGUCGUGCGGGACCCAUCGCACACAGAGAAGCCACCUUACCCCUCACCUCACCCCGUCGGCCAAAGACUGACCACCCGCGCCCGAGUGUGGGGAGGGGUGGGAAUUCCGGAUCACACACACACACACACACACACACACACACCAGGGUAGGGGAACAGGGAAGAUCUUACCUGCAGAAAGGUAAGAGAAGCCGGGAGCGUGU
rnacentral:lncRNA from 1 species